AGUCUAGAAAGCCCCCUGCAGAGGUUUCCCAGGGCAUGGCUGAAUCACUGUGGAGCACAUCCGAGGUGACAAACAGGCUCUCCUGUCCACAGCCCCCUCCAGGGACCCAGGUAUGAAAGCUGGCCGUGAUGACCCAGGAAAUUAGCCUGGGAUAUUGUCAGGUUACCUGGGCUGGUUAAGAAGUCUGGGGUGGAGAGAUGGAAUGAAAUAGAGUCCUUUGCAUGGUAUCCAGCACAUAAGACAUUUUGGUAGCUAUUCUUUAAAAAUGCAUUACUGUUACUAUUCUUAGUGACCAGGGGAUCCAUACUUUGAAUUGCCACCUGCCUUUAGUACUUUUGGGGGUUUCAUCUCUGAGGAUGGUGUCUGACAUCUUGCCGUGCCCUAGCAAGGUAAGAUCUGAGUAAGAACUAGACCUCAGCGGCUUCUUUUUUUAUUUUUAAAAAUGUAUUUGUUUUUUUAAAAUAAAGGCCAGGCACGGUGGCUCAUGCCUAUAAUCCCAGCACUUUGGGAGGCCGAGGUGGGCGGAUCACAAAGUCAGGAGUUUGAGACCAGCCUGACCAACAUGGUGAAACCUCAUCUCUACUAAAAAUUCAAAAGUUAGCCAGGCGGGGUGGUAUACAACUGUAAUCCCAGCUACUCAGGAGGCUGAGGUAGAAGAAUCGUUUGAACCCAUGAGGCAGAGGCUGCAGUGAGCCGAGGUCACACUACUGCACUCCAGGCUGGAUGACAGAGCGAGACUCAGUCUCAAAAAAUAAAAAUAAAAAUAGAGAUGAGGUCUCACUAUGUUGCCCAAGCUGGUCUUGAACUCCUGGCCUCGUGUGAUCCUCCCACCUUGAUCUCCCAAAGCUCUGAGAUUAUAGGCAUGAGUCACCAUGCCCAGCUAAUUUUUUUGUAUUUUUAGUAGAGACGGGGUUUCACCAUGUUGCCCAGACUGGUCUCGAACUCCUGACCUCAGGUGAUCUGAUCCAGCCUCUUGGCCUCCCAAGGAGCUGGAAUUAUAGGCAUGACCACCACACCUGGCCAAAGGUCUCACUAUUUUGCCUAGUCUGGUCUCAAACUCAUGGCCUCAAGCAUCCUCCCACCUUGUCCUCUGGAAUCACUGG
rnacentral:lncRNA from 1 species